CACUUGGGAAUUAUGAUCGCAAGGUUUGUAACUCUAAAGUAUAUUGAUUGUGUCCCUGCACUAUCGGUGGAGCAUGUGGUUUAAUUCGAUGAUACGUGAGGAACCUUACCUGGGCUUAAAUGUUGGACGACAGUCCCCGAAAGGGGAUUUUCCUUCGGGACGUCCUACAAGGUGCUGCAUGGUUGUCGUCAGCUCGUGCCGUGAGGUGUCGGGUUAAGUCCCAUAACGAGCGCAACCCCUAUUCUUAGUUGCCAUCAGAUAAUGCUGGGGACUCUAAGGAAACUGCCUACGCAAGUAGUGAGGAAGGUGGGGAUGACGUCAAAUCAGCACGGCCCUUAUGUCCAGGGCUACACACGUGCUACAAUGGCCAGUACAGAGGGAAGCUACCAGGUGACUGGAUGCCAAUCUCGAAAGCUGGUCUCAGUUCGGAUUGGAGUCUGCAACUCGACUCCAUGAAGCUGGAAUCGCUAGUAAUCGCACAUCAGCCAUGGCGCGGUGAUACGUUCCCGGGCAUUGUACACACCGCCCGUCAAGCCAUGGAAGCUGGGGGUACCUAAAGUCCGUAACC
rnacentral:rRNA from 1 species